rnacentral:rRNA from 1 species
UGCGUAGGGUGCAAGCGUUGUCCGGAAUUAUUGGGCGUAAAGAGCUCGUAGGCGGUUUGUCGCGUCUGGUGUGAAAAUCCAGGGCUUAACCCUGGACCUGCAUCGGGUACGGGCAGACUAGAGUGCGGUAGGGGAGAUCGGAAUUCCUGGUGUAGCGGUGAAAUGCGCAGAUAUCAGGAGGAACACCGGUGGCGAAGGCGGAUCUCUGGGCCGUAACUGACGCUGAGGAGCGAAAGCAUGGGGAGCGAACAGG